rnacentral:rRNA from 1 species
GACGAACGCUGGCGGCGUGCUUAACACAUGCAAGUCGAACGGAAAGGCCCUGCUUUUGUGGGGUGCUCGAGUGGCGAACGGGUGAGUAACACGUGAGUAACCUGCCCUUGACUUUGGGAUAACUUCAGGAAACUGGGGCUAAUACCGGAUAGGAGCUCCUGCUGCAUGGUGGGGGUUGGAAAGUUUCGGCGGUUGGGGAUGGACUCGCGGCUUAUCAGCUUGUUGGUGGGGUAGUGGCUUACCAAGGCUUUGACGGGUAGCCGGCCUGAGAGGGUGACCGGCCACAUUGGGACUGAGAUACGGCCCAGACUCCUACGGGAGGCAGCAGUGGGGAAUAUUGCACAAUGGGCGGAAGCCUGAUGCAGCAACGCCGCGUGCGGGAUGACGGCCUUCGGGUUGUAAACCGCUUUCGCCUGUGACGAAGCGUGAGUGACGGUAAUGGGUAAAGAAGCACCGGCUAACUACGUGCCAGUAGCCGCGGUGAUACGUAGGGUGCGAGCGUUGUCCGGAUUUAUUGGGCGUAAAGGGCUCGUAGGUGGUUGAUCGCGUCGGAAGUGUAAUCUUGGGGCUUAACCCUGAGCGUGCUUUCGAUACGGGUUGACUUGAGGAAGGUAGGGGAGAAUGGAAUUCCUGGUGGAGCGGUGGAAUGCGCAGAUAUCAGGAGGAACACCAGUGGCGAAGGCGGUUCUCUGGGCCUUUUCUGACGCUGAGGAGCGAAAGCGUGGGGAGCGAACAGGCUUAGAUACCCUGGUAGUCCACGCUGUAAACGGUGGGUACUAGGUGUGGGGUCCAUUCCACGGGUUCCGUGCCGUAGCUAACGCUUUAAGUACCCCGCCUGGGGAGUACGGCCGCAAGGCUAAAACUCAAAGGAAUUGACGGGGCCCCGCACAAGCGGCGGAGCAUGCGGAUUAAUUCGAUGCAACGCGUAGAACCUUACCUGGGUUUGACAUGGAUCGGGAGUGCUCAGAGAUGGGUGUGCCUCUUUUGGGGUCGGUUCACAGGUGGUGCAUGGCUGUCGUCAGCUCGUGUCGUGAGAUGUUGGGUUAAGUCCCGCAACGAGCGCAACCCUUGUUCACUGUUGCCAGCACGUUAUGGUGGGGACUCAGUGGAGACCGCCGGGGUCAACUCGGAGGAAGGUGGGGAUGACGUCAAGUCAUCAUGCCCCUUAUGUCCAGGGCUUCACGCAUGCUACAAUGGCUGGUACAGAGAGUGGCGAGCCUGUGAGGGUGAGCGAAUCUCGGAAAGCCGGUCUCAGUUCGGAUUGGGGUCUGCAACUCGACCUCAUGAAGUCGGAGUCGCUAGUAAUCGCAGAUCAGCAACGCUGCGGUGAAUACGUUCCCGGG